UACGUAGGCGGCAAGCGUUAUCCGGAUUUACUGGGCGUAAAGCGAGUGUAGGCGGUAACUAAAGUCUUCUUUGAAAGCAUAGGGCUCAACCUUAUCGUUGGAGAAGAUACUCAGUUACUUGUGAGUAAUAAAGGGGCAGCUGGAACUCUCGGUGUAGGGGUGAAAUCCGAUGAUAUCGAGAGGAACACCAAGGGAGAAGUCAGGCUGCUGGUUAUUAACUGACGCUGAGACUCGACAGCUCGGGGAGCGAAAGGG
rnacentral:rRNA from 1 species